rnacentral:lncRNA from 1 species
GUGCCGGAGAUAGAUCGGUGGCUAGAGAAGGAGAAGGAGCACCGGUGGGAGGUGCCGGUGGGCUUGAAAGUAAAGGAGAAGGAGCAACCGUCGGAGUCACACUAGGAGUGGGAGAUGAAACGGGGACAGGAGCAGGGGGGGAAGCGAGUGGAGCAGGUGGUGGUGAGGCGACAGGAGGAGGAGUAGCUGGUGGCGGUGAUGCAACAGGAGGAGGAGUAGCAGGAGGUGGUGAUGCAACAGGAGGAGGGGUAGCCGGUGGUGGUGAAGCAACAGGAGGAGGAGUAGUUGGUGGUGGUGAGGCAACGGUGGGAGGUGCGGCUACAGGGGGAGGAGUGGAGGUUGGUGGAGAUGCGACUUGAGGUGGGGGAGCGGUGGUGGUAGGAG